rnacentral:rRNA from 1 species
GACGAACGCUGGCGGCGUGCCUAAUACAUGCAAGUCGAACGCAGUGGGGCCGGGUGAGUAACACGUGGGUAACCUCCCAUCAGAGGGGAUAACACUUGGAAACAGGUGCUAAACCGCUACUGAUGGAUGGACCCGCGGUGCAUUAGCUAGUGGGUGAGGUAACGGCUCACCAAGGCCACGAUGCAUAGCCGACCUGAGAGGGGGAUCGGCCAAACUGGGACGGGGACACGGCCAAGAAUCCAACGGGGGGCAGCAGUAGGGAAGCGUCGGCAAUGGACGAAAGUCGGACAGAGCAACGCCGCGUGAGUGAAGAAGGUUUUCGGAUCGUAAAACUCUGUUGUUAGAGAAGCGGUAUCUAACCAGAAAGCCACGGCUAACUACGUGCCAGCAGCCGCGGUAAUUC